CGGACGGGUGAGUAAUGUCUGGGAAACUGCCUGAUGGAGGGGGAUAACUACUGGAAACGGUAGCUAAUACCGCAUAACGUCGUAAGACCAAAGAGGGGGACCUUAGGGCCUCUUGCCAUCGGAUGUGCCCAGAUGGGAUUAGCUAGUAGGUGGGGUAACGGCUCACCUAGGCGACGAUCCCUAGCUGGUCUGAGAGGAUGACCAGCCACACUGGAACUGAGACACGGUCCAG
rnacentral:rRNA from 1 species